GAUGAACGCUGGCGGCGUGCCUAAUACAUGCAAGUCGAGCGAACAGACGAGGAGCUUGCUCCUCUGACGUUAGCGGCGGACGGGUGAGUAACACGUGGAUAACCUACCUAUAAGACUGGGAUAACUUCGGGAAACCGGAGCUAAUACAGGAUAAUAUAUUGAACCGCAUGGUUCAAUAGUGAAAGACGGUUUUGCUGUCACUUAUAGAUGGAUCCGCGCCGCAUUAGCUAGUUGGUAAGGUAACGGCUUACCAAGGCGACGAUGCGUAGCCGACCUGAGAGGGUGAUCGGCCACACUGGAACUGAGACACGGUCCAGACUCCUACGGGAGGCAGCAGUAGGGAAUCUUCCGCAAUGGGCGAAAGCCUGACGGAGCAACGCCGCGUGAGUGAUGAAGGUCUUCGGAUCGUAAAACUCUGUUAUUAGGGAAGAACAAAUGUGUAAGUAACUAUGCACGUCUUGACGGUACCUAAUCAGAAAGCCACGGCUAACUACGUG
rnacentral:rRNA from 1 species